rfam:Monodelphis domestica cont3.047691, whole genome shotgun sequence.
CUAGGAGAACCGAAAACAGUUCUAGACAGACCUCCGGCUUUAUAGCCCUUUGGCAGUCAACUUCAGCUUGGGGUAGAGCAGACAAGCCCGCGUUGCUCAGCAGUGAGAUGGAUGCGCCAGCCUGUCCACAACUCCUAGCCGUCACUUUUUAAUUAACUGCACCCCUAUAGAGGGAAGAGUGACCCCGAAAAGG